rnacentral:rRNA from 1 species
CACANGGUNGNUUUUAGAANGUGAGNAGUUUGAUCNUGGCUCNUUNUCCUUGCUCUUNGCNGCAUUAGUGGCGUAGACGUGGUGAGUUAACACGUGAGUAACCUGCCCUUGACUCUGGGAUAACCUCCGGAAACGGAAGCUAAUACCGGAUACGACGUACGGAGGCAUCUCCUGUACGUGGAAAGAACUUCGGUCAAGGAUGGACUCGCGGCCUAUCAGGUAGUUGGUGAGGUAACGGCUCACCAAGCCUACGACGGGUAGCCGGCCUGAGAGGGUGACCGGCCACACUGGGACUGAGACACGGCCCAGACUCCUACGGGAGGCAGCAGUGGGGAAUAUUGCACAAUGGGCGAAAGCCUGAUGCAGCAACGCCGCGUGAGGGACGACGGCCUUCGGGUUGUAAACCUCUUUUAGUAGGGAAGAAGCGAAAGUGACGGUACCUGCAGAAAAAGCACCGGCUAACUACGUGCCAGCAGCCGCGGUAAUACGUANGGUGCGAGCGUUGUCCGGAAUUAUUGGGCGUAAAGAGCUCGUAGGCGGUCUGUCGCGUCUGCUGUGAAAACCCGAGGCUCAACUNCGGGCUUGCAGUUGGGUACCGGNCAGACUANANUGCCGUAGGGGANANUGGAUUUCUGGGUUNUAGCGGUGGANUGCCCAAAAU